ensembl:lncRNA
UGCUAAUACAUUUGAAUAUUUAUUUACAGAUGAUUCUUUGGUAUAAAAGCUGGAAGAUAUCCCAGAGAGAUCUACUCCAAUGUUGUCAGCAGAGUUAGGCAAAAAAGAUUCACAGAACUUUAGAUGAAAAGAUCUUGGAAGUCUUCCUGUCAAGGCAUCGGCCCUUCUAUAUUAUGGAAAAGAAGCUCCUAGAUGUUUUAAUACCAUGUGACUCAGAGCAGGACAAGAUGUUGCAUUUUCUCAUGACAAAAACGGAUAGUUGUGGCUUGGAAGAUGGGAAACUGGAUCAACCAUGAACUAGAGCAAAGUUGAAGACAGCUAAAUAUUUCAAGAGUAUUUUCGGUAAUUCCAUGAGCUUUCCUGACAGUUGGUCACUCUAUCCUCACUGCCUCCUGUGGUAUAAUGUUACAUAUCCAAAGUCCGUGAUGCAACACAAGUUCAAGGGUUCUGGGACCAAAAAUUUGAGAACUGCUGACACAGACAGUGAAAUAAUCAAGAAAGGAGGCAUCUAUCCAUCAAUAAUAAUGUCCUGAACAUCACUGAGCUAAAACAAGUCCAGGUAUGGGUGAUGACCAGGUGUGGUUGAGGGCCGCAUUCUACCAUGUGUCAGUCAGUCUUCUAGGACUUCAGUACUAAGAUAAGGAGGGACUCAUAACCAGUACACACAUGUAAAUAUCAGCAGUAGGCUUUCUGUGAGCGGUUGAGGAAAUGCCUUGCAGGACAUUCUGUUGCCCCUUUCUUUCUCGAUCGUUGAUUCAGAGACCAUGAUCAUUUGAUUCUUAUGAAAGGCCACAUUAUUGGACAUAUCUCUAUAGUGCAGUAAAUUUUGGUUGAAGUAUGACAAAAGUGAGGAAAGGCUUUGAGUACUUAUCUUUCUCCAAUCUGUUUGCAGGUAUCCCGCUUUGGCUAACUCACCAAAUUCUUGUUUGGGUGUCAUGCCAAGCAGGUGUGUGAUCAAUGUUUAUAAAGUUACCGACUGAUUGACUGAUUAUCUUGCAGAAAGCAUUACUUCAUUCUUGGUGGCUAGUCUAUUAACCAUAUGGCAGAUUACUUCUAUGAAUAGAAGUAUUCAACUACUCUCUUAUUCAAUGUAACUGUCUUAUAUUCUGAAAGAAUGAAUACAAGGUCAGCGUAAGUGUCCUCAGUGCCUUGGGAGAGGAUUUUAGGGUUGCUUUUUUUAAUAGACUUUUGCUAAGAGUAGCAAAGGCACCAUAAAAAGAACAGUUAACGAAACUUGUUUUCUUCAUUACCAAACUUAAUAUAAAUACUUCAACAUGAAUGUUCUUCUCUUUUUUCUUUUUUAAAUUAUUCAUGAAGUCUUCGCCUGAGUUGGGGGUGGUGAUAUACAAGAAUAAUCUCUGAAAUGAUUGCAAUAAGAAAGUAGUAAUAUAAUAUUUUUGAACCCCAACAAAUAGAAGGAUGAUUCAUAAUUCAAAAUACAAUACAAUAAAACUAAGAAUGCAGGUUAGUCCUUAAUUUGACCUACAUUAAAUAAUUAUGAUGUAGAGGUAAACUCAUGGAUAAUUUCAAGGACUCCAGAAGGCUUCAGCUUAAGUAAAUGAGAUCUUAGAUUUUACACUCUGACGUCCCUUGCUUUUAUUUUUCCCUCAGGUGCAAACUCGCAUCAGGAUCUCUUUCUCGUGCAAUUAGCAAGGUAACUGCCUUACCUAGCUGGCAUUGCCCCUUUUCAUUUUGGGGUCUGCAAGCAUUUGCCACUUGCACUCAGAUCAUGUUUUUGUGAGAGGCCACAGAGUGACUUUCUUUAAAGCUAUCAAAGCCUUCCUCAUUAUCCUUUAUGGGCUGUGCAGAAAACAUCUCAACUAUUAGACAUUUAACUGAGUGCAGUAGAAUGGGUUUUCUGGCCCCCUCCAGUUCCUUGGGUAAAAGCUCUGUUCAUAAUCAGUUUCUGGUUUUUUAAAUGACCCUCAAGAGGUUCCUUCCGGUCCACUUCAGUUCCCUUUUUAGUGUCCCAUUGAUUUUUCCAGACUUUAGGAACGUGUCCUUAACUGCCUGCUUUUCCAUUGGCUCUCUCUACUGAAUGCUAAAGGAACACUUUGUUACUUCAUACACUGAGACAGGAAUAUCUUGAAAACUAACACACCAUUUAUAACAGUACAGUUUAUAAUAGCAUUUCCUGCAAAAAGAAGGUGCCUUUCUCAGAAAGAGAAGGACGAUUUCUGCACCCCAUUUAGUUUCAAAAUACAAGCAACACCCUUGUUUCUUGUCAAUAAAAAGGAAGAUAGAAUAGAGUAGCAAUCACAAUACAUAAAUGAUAUUAUUUGUCCCCAGAGUACAUACCAAGUAGUAAUUCACUCAAAGAGCUUGCAUGAAUUAUAAAUGGCAGGAAAGCACUGAGAGGGAACCUCAAUCCAGACUCACUCCACACUGCUCUUACAUGAGCAGUUUAAAGUCAGACAAGCUACACAAACUAUAUAAGGAAACUGUGAAGGUAUAUAAUUGACUUUGGAUUCCCUUCCUGCUCUAAAUCUCAUUUUAAAUAAUAUAGGGACACUAUAGAAGCUGUGACUCUGAAGAUACAGCACUGAUUAAAUUUUAAAUCAAAUAAGCUAAUCAAUAUAGAAUCGGAAAAAUCUCUUGGGAGUGAUUGGACUUCCAAAAAGAUGUCCCCUUGACUCCACCCACCCCUAAAAUAAAAAUAAAAACAACAACAGCAAGAGAAAACCAUAGGUCCUAAACUACACACAGACACGGAAGACAGAAAUCGAAGUUUGCAGAAAACUUGGGCAUUU